GAUGGAGCUCCAUCGUAAAGAAGCACGCAACGCACGCAAAAUAACACAAACAGAAAAUCGUUGACACAGCACACACACUCGCUGACACCAAAACAAAAAAGGAAAGCGAAAAGGCCGAAGAGCGGAUUGGGUGAAGACCGAAAUAUACGCAUACAUAUUAUACAUGUAUACCUUAUACUUGUAUACAUAAUUUGUCUCUCUCUCCUUCCGUUCUUCUGUGGUGAAGAAGAUCCGUCUCCCUCCGCCCCUCUCUCCCAAACAAAAUAUAACGGCGCACCGUUUUUCAUUGCCUUUCAUCGACGUCUAGGUGUUUGUGCGUCUGGUGCGCGCGCGUGUGUGUGCACUCGACCUACGAAACCUAAAUCUCGUUGUGUGCGUGUGCGCUUUUCGUCUUCUCUCUUUCUCUUCCCUCUUCGCACGCAUUUACGCAUCCGUCUAUCUCCUCUAACGAUGAACCCGAACGAGAGCAACACGGGCCACAAGGUCCUGAUAGCUGAUCUGCCGAUGAUGUGGCCCAGCGAUAUGCGCCGCUUCGAGAAAGAAGGUGGGGUGUGGGGCCGACAGUUUAGGCAGCGGCGCCGUCAACUCACCUUUGCGCUGACCGUGUCCGCGGCGACGACGCUGCUCGGGUCGUGGUAUGUCGUGAUGCGGCGCAGAAACACGUAUUUUGUACUCUUCUCUACUUUCAGCGGCUUUUCAGUGCUCGGUUUCUGCGUGGGCAUGUCGCUCGCCCCGCUGUGGUACGAGAACGUGGCGAACAACAAGGAGACGUCCAUGAUGCGGCGCGUGUGGUGGGCGAAGGAAUGCGCGAAGCACUGGGACUACUCGCAGGUGAACAAGGAACGCUGGAUAGCAUCGUACCCCAAGGCUGCGUAUCCGUGCAAGAAGAUCCAGUAACUUAGCAGCAACCCAAACCUCUUUUUAUUUUCUCGCCUGAGGUGCGGUUGCGUGCGCAUGCACAUCUGGGUGUCUUUCUCUCCAUCGUCGUAAGUCCGUGAUGCUCCGCGUAUUGGCGUGUACGAGUGCUGCGGUGGUGGGUCUGAAGGACAAGGCCUGCUGUGGCCUCUGGUGGCUUUUUCUUUUUCCUCCUUUCUUUCUCUUUGUUUUUCGUUUCGUUCGUAGUGCCUCUGACGACGGAUGGGCGGGGGGGGCACACACCUCCGUGCGUGGCGUCUCACGGUCCCGUACCUCCCCCUCCCCCACUCUGUGGCGAAAGUCAGGCAGCCCCCCACCCCUACCCCUGCCAGUGCCGAGCCGCUUCCGGUGGUGACAGGGUCAUGUGCCUACCCCACAGGGGAGGCCAGCGCGACUCCUGUCCGCAGCCAGGCCCUGGACGGCGUGCUGCUGGAGCGGCCGGCGACUGUGAAGGCGCUUGUGCCGUCCGCGCGAUGGGCCGAGCGUCAGCGCGACUCGCGCGCACGCCACCCGGUGCUCGCUGCCUGCUGGCGGGGAGCCUUUAUGCGACCCCGAGGGGGUGCACCCGGUGGCGGCGGGCGGGGCGCGGGUGGUGUGCCGACGUUGAGGCGGAGGCCGCGCCCCGGCGACUGUGGCGGCGCAUUGCUGGGAGGCGUGUGUGUCCCGCUGCUUCGCGCCGCGCGAUGACGGUCCUGUGUGGCCGGGCCGGGGGCCAGAGUGGUGGUGGGGGUGGCUGGGCUCAUGCUCCAUGGCGGCGAAUGACCGCGUUGAAGCAGAAAAGGACAUUUUUUGUGUAGUGGUCACGACCGGCCUCUCUCCGCCUUUCCCGCCGACCCGUUCCAGUCGCGUACGCAUUGGCAUGCGCGUGUGUCUAGAAUCAUGCUUGCCCCCGGCGUUGCACGCACGGGCACAAACGCCGGCGUCGUCAACCCGCGCGGAGAGUAUGAACGCGUACCCUUCCGCGCAGACACAGACACACACACACGCACGGUGGGACACUCUAGAAGACGUUUUGGACGAGUCUGACCUCGCGCUUUCCCCUCCUCUGAGUUGGUCUGUCUGUCUGUAGGAGGGGUUUCCGUGAGAGCGCCCACGACCGAACAACGGAAACAUAAAACAUAGGAAGCAAAGAGCGAUUGGAGCAGCAGUGGUAGCGCAAAGGAGAACCGAAAAAAAAAGAUUCAACGAAAAGGAAGUGCAACACAUGCGCGAACAGUAGACGUGCCGAGACAGGCACGCAUGAGCGCGCCUUUUCGCCGUUGGUCGCCGAUGGGUGAGGAACUGAGGCGGCUGCGUGGAAAAUGUUCGUGACGUCUGGGCACUGCUGGCGUGCAGGUGCCCAACGGACUCUCUUCUCGCUUUCUUUUCCGCCUCCCGCCCUCCAACACGUACGGUGCACGUCAUGAUUGCCGUGAAUGUG
rnacentral:misc_RNA from 1 species